rnacentral:rRNA from 1 species
ACACGUAGGGGACGAGCGUUGUCCGGAAUUACUGGGCGUAAAGGGCGCGCAGGCGGAUAUUUAAGUCAGCUGUAAAAGGCAUGAGCUCAACUCAUGUAUGCGGUUGAAACUGGGUAUCUAGAGUGCUGGAGAGGUAGGCGGAAUUCCCGGUGUAGCUGUGAAAUGCGUAGAUAUCGGGAAGAACACCAGUGGCGAAGGCGGCUUACUGGCCAGCAACUGACGCGGAGGCGCGAAAGCCAGGGGAGCGAACGGGAUGAGAUACCCCGGUAGUCCUGGCCGUAAACGAUGAAUGCUAGGUGUGGGUGUCGAGAGGCAUCCGUGCCGGAGUUAACGCGAUAAGCAUUCCGCCUGGGGAGUACGAUCGCAAGAUUGAAACUCAAAUGAAUUGACGGGG